rnacentral:lncRNA from 1 species
UCCAAUAUGGGGUGGGGUGGAGCGGAGUGGAGCGGAGUGGAGUAUAAUCAAUGGAUAAUGCUCCUCCAUAUCCGUUGCGUCAUUUUCUGUUUAAUUUGCUGUCAGCCUGUCACCACUGCCAUUUGCCAUUGGGUAGAAUAUACGUACCCAGAUGCUUUUUAAUUGCUUAUGCGUGUGACUUCAGACUUACUAUAUUAUGCCCACAUAAUAAUUGUCAUAAUACUAUAUAAUACAUGUUGCUUUCUUAUGCAGCAAACACUAGAUUGAUGGAAACAAUGUAGUAGUGUAGUAGUAUUAUCCAUUCUACUUAUUUUAUAGUAGCAGCAGUAGUAGUAGUAUUCAGGAAGCCAAUUCAUUACUGUAACUUUUAAAUUAAUGUAAAUUUAUUUACGUUUUGAAAAAACAACUUCUUUUUGUCAUCAA